rfam:Streptomyces sp. Termitarium-T10T-6 genome assembly, contig: Ga0115253_11000
CCUCCGCUCUCCCCGCACAGGAGAGCGGACCGAGGCACCCGGCGCUCUCUGCCCUGACCGCGCCGGUGCCUCCCGUGGCCGGGGGCACCGCACACCGCCGGCCAGGUAGCUCCGGGCUGCGGUGCCGGAUGGGCUGAGGGUCCCAUCCCGGCGC